GCCGUCGUAGACCAGUGGCAGGUCACCUCCAACAACUAGAAGUUCACCAUCACCUCAUAUAAAACCGGAGGAACCGGGGGUUCGAUUCCCCACGACGGCG